rnacentral:rRNA from 1 species
AUUGAACGCUGGCGGCAGGCCUAACACAUGCAAGUCGAACGAGUGGCGGACGGGUGAGUAAUGUCUGGGAAACUGCCCGAUGGAGGGGGAUAACUACUGGAAACGGUAGCUAAUACCGCAUACCAUCGGAUGUGCCCAGAUGGGAUUAGCUAGUAGGUGGGGUAACGGCUCACCUAGGCGACGAUCCCUAGCUGGUCUGAGAGGAUGACCAGGCAAAAUGGGAACGAGAAAAGGUCCAGACUCCUGAGGGAGGCAGCCGUGGGGAAUAUUGCAAAAUGGGCGGAAGCCUGAUGGAGCCAUGCCGCGUGUAUGAAGAAGGCCUUCGGGUUGUAAAGUACUUUCAGCGGGGAGGCGUUACCCGCAGAAGAAGCACCGGCUAACUCCGUGCCAGCAGCCGCGGUAAUAC